rnacentral:rRNA from 1 species
GACGAACGCUGGCGGCGUGGAUUAGGCAUGCAAGUCGAACGGUAUCAUCCUUUCGGGGGUGAGAGAGUGGCGAACUGGUGAGUAACACGUAGGUUAUCUACCCUCAAGACGGGGACAACCCAGGGGAAACUUGGGCUAAUACCGGAUGUGAGCAACUUUUAGUUGUUUGAAAGGUGGCGUAAGCUGUCGCUUGGGGAUGAGCCUGCGUCCUAUUAGUUAGUUGGUGAGGUAACGGCUCACCUAGGCAAUGAUAGGUAGGCGGCCUUAACGGGUGGUCGCCCACACUGGGAUUGAGAUACGGCCCAGACUCCUACGGGAGGCAGCAGUCGAGAAUAGUCUACAAUGGUCGGAAGACUGAUAGUGCGACGCCGCGUGAACGAUGAAUCCCUUCGGGGUGUAAAGUUCUUUUAUAUGUGAGCAGUGCUUUUCAUGUUAACAGCAUGGGGAGAGAGAUAUUAGCAUAUGAAAUAAGCAACGGCUAACUCCCGUGCCCAGCAGCCGACGGUAAAC